rnacentral:lncRNA from 1 species
GCAUUUAAACAAAACAGGACAUUAUUUCAUCUUUCAUUAUCCUGUAUUUCUUGGUGGGUUUGUAUUCAUAUUUAUCUUGAUUCAUGAAAAGAAUUUAGUUUAUCAACUUAAGUUAGGUACUUUUUAACAAAACACAUGUAGUAAAAUGCUACGCGGGAGUGAUGCUUUGCCGUGAUUCAAUGUGUCAAUACUUUUCGAAAAUAACCCUGCUUAUUUAUAUGUUGAAAACCAUUUCACUACAAAAAAAUGUCGAUAUAGCCCUAACCCCCUAAACACACAUGAAGUUCACUAGUGUAAAGCUAGACGGCAUUACCAUUUAUAAGGCCAGA